rnacentral:rRNA from 1 species
CCUACGGGAGGCAGCAGUGGGGAAUAUUGCACAAUGGGCGCAAGCCUGAUGCAGCGACGCCGCGUGAGGGAUGACGGCCUUCGGGUUGUAAACCUCUUUCAGUAGGGAAGAAGCGAAAGUGACG